CUAACUCCCACACCGGCCGAACUCUUAUCUUCCCCGAGCCCUCUUCCUCUCGCAACCUCCUCUCUUCCUCGCGCGUACGCACCCCAGCAGCUCGCCGGCUCUCCUCUUCUCCCUCGAGCCACAGCCGCCGGUUCUCCUCCUCAUGCCAGCACCAGCGAUGCCGCACCCCGCUGGCCUUUCCUUCCCUCUCGCGAAGCCGCCACUCUCUGCCUUCACCGAAACCCUUUUUCCCCUCUUCCCAACGCCAGCCGUCUCCUCUUCUCUCUCGAGUCGCACAGCUGGCGAUUUCUUCUCCUCACGCGAGUACCAAGAAGCCAUGGCCGUCGGACACCGCAUCCGACGAUCUCUUUCCGCACCAGCAGUCGUGCCCUAACUGAUCCAGUAAGAAGAUUCUGCUAGUAGGGCUGUAAUUCGAGACGAGCACUUCGACGUGGAGAUUGUUUAGCUCGGUCUACAUUUAAGGCGGUUAGACCUUGGGUUAUUUAUUGGAAAUGUUUAUAUGUCUUACACAUUACCUCUGUAGUUACGAGCAGUAUUGUAGCAGAUUAGUACCAUUCUUGACCUUCUAUAUCUAGCCUAGGAUAUGGUUCCAGGUAUGAGCAUUGAUUAUGGUUUCAUUUUGUAUAUGCUACUUCUCUUAUGAGACUGUAUUCCUUUUGGGCAUUCUCUAUUUGUUGACUAUGUUCAUGCACUAUCUUUUCUAUACCCGCUGAGUUCCAAUACUCACCACCUCGCAAAUUUGUUUCCUUUCGCCAGGUAACAGAUAGAUGAGUCAGGGAUUCUUGAAGAGUCUCGGCUGCCGGUCCCUCGUCACACUCAAGGAUCGUUUUAUUUUUGGGUUUUGGCACUGUUUGGGAGGUAUAUUAAUUUUGCGUAUUUUGCUUUUGAACAAGUCACUGUGGAUUUUUGGAGUCUAGUCUAGUGGUUGCAAGUAUUUUGUUAGCGCCGUUGUUGGUCUAACGUUCGUAUUAUUUUGUGUUUUCCGCUGCAUUUAUUGUGUUCUAGCUGUGUGGGCUGUUAUUAUUUUGCGUGGUUGUGGGUUAUUUCAUUGUUGUCUAGCCGGGUAGGCUGAGUAUAUUAAUUGCGUGGUUAUGUUGUUUAUAUUUUGUAUAUAUAUUCCAGCCGAGUGUAGCUGUGUAUAUUUUCUAUAUAGUAAUGUUUCAGAUUGUCACCCGUACAGG